UACGAAGGGGGCUAGCGUUGCUCGGAAUCACUGGGCGUAAAGGGUGCGUAGGCGGUUUGUCGCGUCGGGAGUGAAUCCACUGGCUUAACUGGUGGCUUGCUUCGAUACGGCAGACUGGAGGUAUGCAGGGGAGAACGGAAUUCCUGGUGUAGCGGUGAAAUGCGCAGAUAUCAGGAGGAACACCUGUGGCGAAAGCGGCUCACUGGACCACAACUGACGCUGAUGCACGAAAGCUAGGGGAGCAAACAGG
rnacentral:rRNA from 1 species